UUUCUGCAGAUUUAUCAAAACACUCCCCCUCCCCCAAUCAUUUACCCUAAAUCAAAACAAAAAGUGGCAAAGGCGAAAAUUUGUGCAAACAGAAUUCCAAAGCUGCAUCAAGGCUCCAAUCACACUGCUAAACAACAUUCAAAAGCCCUCAAUCCUAACACUUUGAACAUGUCAGACAAUCAACCAGCACGCAGGACUGCGUCUUCUAGAGAGGGAAUGGGUGGCGCUAAGGGAAGAAAGGGUUCUUCAAAGAAGGAGGUGAAGGAGGUGAAGGAGGUGAAGGAGAAGAAGAAGGUUUUGACUGGUUCUGCUUCUCGUCCCCUGGGGGUCCAUGGCUCGGACGUGCAGACUCAGUCUUCAGGCGUGAUCAACGCUGAUGGUUCUGAUACUGAGUGGGAUGAGGAUUGGUAUAAUUAUCUUCAUUCGGAGGAGUUCGCUCGUCGGGAAGAAUAACGUGUUUUUAUUUUGUUUGAUGUGUAUUUUGUAACGCUCGUCGGGCAGAAUAACGUGUUUUUGUUUUGUUUGACGUGUUUUGUUUUGUUUUGUUCUGAUUUCGGAUUGUAUCGCACAGUGUUUUUGUAUUGGAUUUAUCAUCUUAGUUUUUGGAUUGUUCUGAUUUCAAUAUGUAGAUUCUUGGAUUUCAUCGCCGCGAACACUAUCCAUCUUCUGGAUUAUAAACAUAGAACUUUGACUUUCCCAGCGCACCCCUUUGUUUGAUUUUUUUGUAAUGACGUCCCCUGAUCAGGUAAGAAAUGUGGACACAUGUGCCUACGUAAGCCUUCUAAGACGGUUACCUUCUAAGAAAUGUGGUAACACUUUCCUACUUAAAAGCCUACGUAACAAAAAUUGGGAAGCUCCACAGCCACGCCCUAUUUAAAAGAAUAAAAAACCUUUUGAAAUUUCGAAGUUCCCUUUUCCUUCUCCCCACCACU